UCAUGGUAUACUCAGCUAUUUCUGCUGAACUAAAAUCCACUCCCUUUUCUCGCAGCUUGUGGGGUUCUGUGGUGUGUUCUGGGUUUCAACGCAAUUUUUGUCAUGGCGGCUCUCCCUGCUCCCACUCUGCAUUUCACACAACCGGUCAACGGCACCAACAUUGAGCUGUCCUCCAAAGUCGUCAUGGAAUGCUUCCCACCAAAAGAGGCACAAUAUCCCAUCUUCCUCAACCUGGGGAAACAAGAGCAGCCACUCGUCCCCCUGCUGUUUUACAGGCUCACGUCCUACAACAGCGUGCUCUUCACGAUUCCGGCCGUCGAGGAGUAUGAGGGGCUCUUUGUGUGUUGGUACAAUGUCAGCAAGACAAAUGAGGUGUCUGCACCCAGCAAAGCUACGAACCUAAACAUCAGUAGAUAUUUCUCUGCAGCAGGUUCAGUACUGUGUUCAAAGGCACUAGAGCAGCUCUUGAUCUGGAAGUCAGCCGUCACAUUCGAGCACAUCAGCACCGGUUCGAUGGGCAGAGAACCCACUAAACUACCUGCCGUCACGUAAGCAGGUCAGUUAAUGCAAACCCCAUUUGCGAUUUUUGGAAUCUUGCUUUGUCUUGCAGCUUCUUUACCUGUCCCAAGCAUUUCCGUGAAACCGACCUUCAUUCGAACAGGGAAGAACUACUCGGUCUCUUGCGUAACGUCGACCUACUUCUACAACGCCACCUUCCGCAUUUACUUUCGCGACGCAGCAGGUUCCGCGCAUGACGGGGCGCUGCAGCUCUUUGGAAUCCUGAAUCUGAAUGGCACUGGAGUAAUAACUUAUAGGGACGUUGCAGAGGAGAAUGAGAGGAGGGAGUACAUCUGUGACGUUGAGGUCUUCUACAGAAAUCGCAUCCUGAGGUCUCCCUUCUCCAGGUCUUUGACUGUCACUGCAGAAAUGCUUCCAGCGCGCCUACUCUCUGACAUCCAGGGGAUCCGGUGCAUGGGGAAGCUGGAGGUGUUUGAGGAACAGAAGUGGUACCCCGUGUGCAUGCCUUAUGGCCUGAAGGAGGCCACAGCCCAAGUGGCUUGCAGAGAACUUGGAUGUGGCAAGGUGGUGCAAUUAGACACCAGUACAAAUUCUCUCCAGUCCCGUUCCUUUCAAUGUUCUGGAAACGAGGGGCGUCUCCGGGACUGCAGCUUUCCCUCGGAACGGAGGUUCUGCAACCGUGAUUAUAACCUAUGGGUCAUGUGUUCAGUUUUCGCUGAGGAUUUUCUUCCAGCUCCAAAGCUUUCAAUCAACGGUUUUAAUUUUUUAACCAGUGUUCAUGUCUAUGAAGGAAACUCACUGGAAGUCUACUGUACAUUCAAUGCUCCUUGGCUCGGUAACAAGACGGUGAGCAUUGCUUUGAAGGAAUUAAAUCAAGGUGUGAAAUCGUCAUUUUUUUUGACUACUGCUGGGAAGACAGUUGUCUUUACGAUGUCCUCCCCUGUGUCUCCCGGUGACUAUGCCUGUAUCGCGAGGUUUGACGACUCCUUCCAAACCAUUUACAGUCCAUCUAGCAACAGUGUGACCAUCACCACUGGAAAGCCUCCAAAUGUUGGCCUCAUUGUGGGAGCUCUCAUAGUAUCUCUGAUAGGUGCUGGAAUUCUAGUCUGCUUGUGCGUCUUUCGGGUUAGUGAUGGAGAGACACAAACUGAUAUGAAUGCAUUGGAGAAAAAUGUGGAGAAACCUGCCUCUGACCUGGAGGGUGAAGAGAUGCAAUGAUGUGCCAGUGUGCAGCACAGCAGCGCCGCCAAGUGCAAUGGUGCCAUUGACAGCUGAUGUCAUCGAAAGUGGCGUGUAAUUCGUCUAUCAACAUCUUCUCCGCUAUUUUACAUGCUUUCUCAUGGCUUUUCUCAGGUGGAAGAUAGAGUUCCUAGCGUGGUACCUGUCACACAUUUAGGGUUCCUACCUCUUAGAAAAGUCUUCCUUUCGCUGAGGGUUCCAUUUGAUGAUGGGUUGCCCUGAAAGGCUGCAUUUCGCACUGAUUUAAUAUAUGAAACAUUGCUGUAGUAACACCUACAUGUUUAAGUACAGAAAUAAACGAGUAGCGCUCUUAUUGAAGAAACA
ensembl:lncRNA